CUCAGUUGCAUUAUUCAUAGGCCUCAGCGCCUUACGUGAAUAUCAUUUUGGAAAAGCUAUUAUAAAGAAGAUUGUUAAGGAAAGAUUGUUACAAGUUAUAUACGAAAGAGUAUUGAAGUUAAAAAGCGACGUUACGUGAAGAAGACGAAAGAGUUGUGCUCAGUCAGACAGAAAAGAGACAAGUUGAACUGAUAUAGUUUUAAUUAUAUAGUAAUUGGAUAU